rnacentral:lncRNA from 10 species
GGGGAAGGGUUGCUCCCCUGGGAUCUGCCCUCAUGGGACUGGCACCAUGAUGGUGUCCCCUCUUCUGGGGUCCGGAUAAGCUAGGUAACCGUGGCUUCCUCAUGGGGUGCACACCCCCUUCCCCCUAUAAGAGCCUUGGCUGCCACAGCUUUCCUGCAAGGCAGAUUGGGAGCAGGGGUGGACACAGGUUCUGAGUGUGCCCUGACCACUGGCAGACCCAUCUCCACAGGCUGACUUGCCAGAGACCACCCCAAGUGGAAAAUUCUGGGGGCUGGGCCAGGGUGGAUCUAGGGCUCGGAGGACCUGGAGUAUGUACCAUCUGGGGGCCCUUUUAAAGAGAGAGAACAUAAAAUUACAUAGACACAGGCAGGUACAGGACUUUGGGAGGGGCUCGUGUAGUGAGGGGUCCUGAGGGUGGGCUGCCGUUGGGUGGGCCCAGGGGGCAUCGGGGUGGCCUUGGUUGCACUUGCCCUCUGGGCUUUCCUGAAGAGCUGGGGUUGGCUCUGUCCUGUGGAGGGAGAGGGUGCGGGAGGCUGUCAGCACCAGCCCAGGUUUCUCUCACCUGAAGUCCCAGGUGUGAUGGG